UCCUCUUUAAACAAUGACAAUUGCAGUAAAACAAAGCUACUGGAGGAUGCAAAAAAAUGGGAAAUACUAUACCUCAGCCCCUGACCUUCCUGAAGCUGAAGUUUGAAAGAGCCUUGCUGAUGGUGAUUCAGAUUCAUCCUGAAGGAUCUACUGCUGUUUGAUGGGAAUUCAUCAAAACACACUGUGUCACUUCACGAGGAGCAUAGGACAGCAUGGGACUCUAGUUUCUCCUCUUCUUUGAGGAUGAAGAGUUGGAAAUUCUAAAUGGACACACCACAAGCAGUAUAGUCAAGAGGAAGAUUAGGAGUUUUGGCAGGUUUUGAAUCUUUGAAGAAUCAGACCACAAGGAUGGUGAUCUUGAUAUUAAGGCCUGUGUUUAUAAGAGUGAUUGCUUUGCCAUGUUCUCCUUGAGGGACCUGGCUGAGCAUCCAGAAAGGGCACAUAUGUUAUCACCUCCACUGAGGCAGGCUGGCUCAUGCUACCAGAUGUGUUUUGUUGCUUUGAGCUCCUCUGUGUGCUGUGCAUUACCAGCACUUGUAGGAACAAUAGGAGAUUUUGCUGCUUGUUGCAUCCUCAGUUUUCCUUGUUGUCCUUUACUCUCCUCCUGUACUUGGACACAGGAAUAGUUCUCAGUGAGGCUGUGGGCUCUGCUUGCUGGCAGGGAGGUGGCAGCUCAUUGACAGUGCCACCACCAGGGUGACUUUGGCCAUAACACAGUUUCUCUGUGUCUUUGCAGCUUUCUGAGUAAGGAGGUCUGUCAGCCUGAGGGUUCAUUUGCACAAACACCAUGGGUGGGAAAUCUAACACUAUGUUGGGCCAUGUUUAUUUUAAGUCUCAGGGCUGCUGAGUGCUCUGUCAGCCAAGGCAGUCCCCCAAGCCAUGGGAGCACCAGAGCUCUCUGGCACUGGGUCCCCCCCAGCACAGGCACCUUCCUCUGGGACACCACUUUGGGAAAUCUGUUGUUUCCCAUCUUUUCCUUGCCAGCUCUCAGCAGUUUCUGUGCGUGCCCACCAGAGAGCAACCCCAGCACAGGGUUGUUGUCUCCAGAGAGAUAGAUUGUAGGGCUGAGUGUGAGGUCAAAUCAUCUUUCUUCACCCUUUCCAGCCCUAUCACCUCAUCCCAAACCUGAGCUGAGCAGUGAGUUCAGGCCCUCUGUGUCCUGGGCAAGAGGAGUGUCCCACAGGGAAGGAAGGACAUGCUGGAGGAGAGAGGCAGGAGACCCGGGCAAACCCAGUGCCAUCUCUGGGAAAGGACCAUGCCAUGAAUUAGCAAGGGACAUCUAUCCAGGAUGUACAGGAAACAAGGAUUCAGACAGAGCUGAACUAUUUGGAUGGCCAAAAAUCUGGUGGUUUUUGCAGUUUCCUGUAAGUGCAUAGACAAAUUGUACUCAUCUUGGAGAAGCACAGUCAUUUAGUAUUGAAAAGACCUUUAGGAUCCUGGGGCCCAACAGACAUCUCAGUGGGUAUCUUUGAUGCUUGAACAGGUAGCUGGGUAUCUUGGUGGGGUUUUCUGUGUGAGACUCUGUCCCAGUGUUUGGGGAAGGAACAAAGCCACGUUUUUCAUGUCUCCUCAGGCUUUGUGAGGUCAUCUCAGCCUCUGGGCUGGCAAGAAGUCCCAGGGUAGGCAGCUGGGCUUGGAGGUGGGGUUCAACUGUGCAACAUCAAAUAUCUUAUUUGAGCUGCCUGGGUCAGGAGGGAGGGGUGGGUAAGGUUGGCCUUUCCUGGGAUAGACACAGUGCAAGGGACUGAAUCUCCUGCAGGAAGGACCUGUCCCUCCCCUCUGCCUCCUCUGAGCCAUAGGAGCAGCAUUCACAGGCCAGUGGUGGUGCCAAGAUCUGUGGCACUGCUGAGCUGCAGCCCCAGUGCCUGUAGAAAUGGGCUUUGAGAGAAAGCUGAGGGAAGAAACAACUGCUUGCUAUUUUUAUCCUUGCACCAGCCCCCGGGGAUUUCGAUUGACAGGAUUAGUUAUGAAGCCAAUAUUAUGAGUUUAACUAUGAGUGAAAUAACACAACUUCUGUGGGAAGCAGAGUAAAAGAGGCAAUUAUACAGUAGUUUAAUAACAGCGCACUGCUGGCUGGGUAGCUGAAAACUUACAGUUGACAGUAAUUAGAUUUUUCCAUUCUUCCUGUUAAAUAGCUAUAAAAAUUACAACAGAAAAUAAUCUGAUUCUCUUUUAUUUCAUGCUGUUUACAUCAUCCAGUCGGUAUCCAUUUGGCCUUCUGAUUGUUCUUUAUAUGGUUUUAGUAUCUGGUAUUUAAGACAUGCAGAAAUGGGACAGUGUUAAAAUGCAGAAAGCACUAGGAAUGAGGGAAAGGCAGUAACACUCUUCUGAGCAUGAGGAAUCCAGGGGAUGCUUGAAUGGACAGUGAGAGCUUUCCAAAUUGACUAACUCUGAAUAACAGUUGGGUUUCUAACCGCAGGAGUUAUUCCAAAUAAUUUAAAAUUACAGUAAAAAAAUGAGAUGUUAGGAAUGAAAUCCCCAUUUACCUGUCUGUUACUGUAAUGUGCCAGGUGUAGAUAAGCAGGAGGGAUGGAGGGAGGUGCUGUGGCACAUCAGUCUGCACUGGUUGCUUGCUGCCUUCAUCUCCCUGCUGGGAUGGGAGUCCAUGCUGUGAUGUGAUUCUGGGCUUUACUCCCACCUUGGGCUCCGUGCUGGGAUGGGAGUGUGACUGGUGGGGGUGUUUGUUAUCUGGCAAAGAGCUGGACUUGGACAAAAAUCAGUGAGGUCCCUCAGAUCUGCAGGGCAUCUUCUCUUCCCAGUCUUUGCUGCUCUUCCAUACCCUGCAGUGCUGGGAUUUGUGCCCCGUGGUGCUGGGUCUGUACAGGCAUCUCAUGUCCCUGUUGUUCAUAUCCCAAGUGAUGCUUCUUUGUCUGCUGCCCUCCUUUCAAGCACUGUCCUUUUUUUUUCCCCUCGGUGUCUAGACAGCAGUAAGUUUUCUCUUAUGGCAUAAGAAUGUGAAUUACUUUAGAAAUAUACAGUUGUUAAACUUGCAGGGUGAAACUUAAUGAGCCAACAAAUGUGUGUCAUUUGGCUGCUUAUGAUCAUAGCUUGAAAGUGCAGCACAGCACAAAGGGAAGAACUCUCAAGUUUGCUCUCACCAUUGAAAGCUCAGGAUGGGAUAUUUGCUUGGAGAUUAAAAGUACUCUUCCUUUUACUCUCCUUUUCCUUGUAAUGUAAAAGAUCCAGGUAUGGUAAAUGGUAUCCUGGUUGUGAUGUUGUGCAGGGAAUUUAAUGUGAGGUGGUGUUUGUAGCUCUGGUGCCUGGUGGGAUCUCUGACACACAAUAAAUACAUUCUGUGGCAGCACACCCAACCUCAAAGCACA